rnacentral:misc_RNA from 1 species
AAGUCGUAACAAGGUUUCCGUAGGUGAACCUGCGGAAGGAUCAUUACAAAAUAUGACUGUGGCUGUAGUGGAGCUCGACUUUGUUGAGUUUCCUCAGUUACUUGAGCCCACUCCUGAAAGGGAGAUGGACAGCAUGCAUUCAUUCUUUUAUGAAUGUGUGUGACAUAGACUUUAAAUCAUGACUUAUUUCAUUAUUAAAUAACCAAAACUUUUAACAAUGGAUCUCUUGGCUCUU